AACGAACGCUGGCGGCAGGCUUAACACAUGCAAGUCGAGCGCCCCGCAAGGGGAGCGGCAGACGGGUGAGUAACGCGUGGGAAUCUACCCAUCUCUACGGAAUAACGCAUGGAAACGUGUGCUAAUACCGUAUACGUCCUUCGGGAGAAAGAUUUAUCGGAGAUGGAUGAGCCCGCGUUGGAUUAGCUGGUUGGUGGGGUAAAGGCCUACCAAGGCGACGAUCCAUAGCUGGUCUGAGAGGAUGAUCAGCCACACUGGGACUGAGACACGGCCCAGACUCCUACGGGAGGCAGCAGAGGGGAAUAUUGGACAAUGGGCGCAAGCCUGAUCCAGCCAUGCCGCGUGAGUGAUGAAGGCCCUAGGGUUGUAAAGCUCUUUCACCGGUGAAGAUAAUGACGGUAACCGGAGAAGAAGCCCCGGCUAACUUCGUGCCAGCCGCCGCUGUAAAAC
rnacentral:rRNA from 1 species